rnacentral:rRNA from 1 species
ACAUCCUGGGGCUGAAGUAGGUCCCAAGGGUAUGGCUGUUCGCCAUUUAAAGUGGUACGCGAGCUGGGUUUAGAACGUCGUGAGACAGUUCGGUCCCUAUCUGCCGUGGGCGCUGGAGAAUUGAGGGUGGCUGCUCCUAGUACGAGAGGACCGGAGUGGACGCAUCACUGGUGUUCGGGUUGUCAUGCCAAUGGCACUGCCCGGUAGCUAAAUGCGGAAGAGAUAAGUGCUGAAAGCAUCUAAGCACGAAACUUG